CACAAAUUAACUAAUGAGCUCUAGGCAAACACGCCAAAGAAUUGGCCCAGUCUCCAGGAGAAGCGGUCGGAUAUCUUGUGUCCGUGUAUACGCACGACUACCUGCACACUGUGCACGUCCCAGAUUCUCGAUAUCUGCUAAUGACAGUCUGACAAGUAUCAACCAACCACUCAUCAAUAUUCUAGUAUUAUUUUUUUUAAUUAUUGCAGGGCAACGCCACCAGCGAAAACGCUAAAGCGCAACAGAGCAGAGUCUAUCAAGAAGCCAUUACCAAAUCUCCGCAGAUUCAUGCCCCUGUAAUUAUAUCACUAAAAAAGAUCGUGGACCAAGGCUGAAAUAACACCUUUCUUCUACCAUAUUUCCAGACAAUGAUAAAUCGAUUUCACCAGCGGCGAUUUUCCUUCGUGCAACAGAGAGAGGGUAAAUCAGAAAACAGAAAGCCCCCAAUGAUUGUCUUCGUCUUUUCGCUAGCGCGUACUCGAAAAUUUAUAUAAAUUUUUAUAUACACACACUUUAUUUCAGUCAAAUAGUUUCACACUGCCAUUGGACCCACCCGCAGAAUGGAAAAUAUGACAACAACGUUGAUUGCUUCUAUAGGAGGUUUUCUAUGACUGCGAUGCAUUUUAUAAUAAGUGCUGACAAUGACGAUUGACAAACUCUGCUAUUAUUGUGAAGACCACCCCAUACCGAGUGACGUAGCGUGCAAAACGUAGGAGGUUGCUUUUGGGUUUUGAACACAGUUCAGGUUAUGCACAUUGGAAAAAUAAAUGCCCGGUCGAAAUCGAUGGAUAGCUCUAUCUAUUCUGUAAUAUUUAUAGUUUGCAUUGAUUAUAAAUGGCAAUGUGAGGACAAUAUCACGCAGAACGGAGGUAAUAGAGUAAUAGAACGCGGAGACCAUAUAGAAAUUGUGACACUUGUUGGACCUAUUUCGAAGAUAA